UAUUAAAAAGUCAGCGAUUUACGGUGCGACGUUUGUGUUUCCGCAUAGCUCGCGAUCCAUAUCGUAUCGCUCGCUUCUACGGGAUAGAUUCCGUUUCUGUCUCCGUCUGUGGAUCUAUUCUGGAUCUACCAUUAGAUGGUAGCAGAGCCGACAGCGGUUCUCUGAUUUGAUUUGUGUCAGGCAAAGUUGGCCUGUCAUUGACGUGGAACCCGACCAGUAAGGCACAGGUCUGUACUCACAGCAAAGCGCAACACCACAAGCGGUGCAAUUCCUCCAUCUGACGUGGAUUUUCCAGCUUCGGUUUUCGGUACGGGAUCUUCAGCGAAGAACCGUACUGUUUCCUUAGCUGUGCAAGAGUUCAAGAGAGCAGUCGCCAGUGUUCCUCGGUGUAGAGUCUUCAGCGAAGACCUACACUGGUGUCAUUGGUACUCGGCAAGGAUUCAGCGAAUCCUAAGCCGUGGGGCAGAAGCGCCGAAACGCCGAAAGGGGCGUACGGAAAAGACCGAUCAGACUCCUCCAAACUGGAGUAGAGCGCCAUCACUGUUGCUACGGCAGUCAGCCGGCACAGUAACCUAUUAAAAGCGUGCGGCACCACCGUUACGGUAAAACCGGCGGCAGCGCGGGAACGGACAGUGGAGAAGAAAUUGGAUCAUCUGGAUCGUUUUCCCCGUGGAACGGACGGUUAACAGAUUGAAGCGGAAAAAUGGCACAGAAAGGUCAAGCCACUCCUAAACGUACGGGAACGGCGGCAGACAUCGAUCGGUUUACGGGCUACAAUCCAAAGUGUCCGGACUGUCUACGUAAUAACAAAAAGGUUGAUAAGAAAUUUCCGUGCUACGCAUGCAUUCACAAGCUGGAUGACCCACAUAUUGUCUCACUUGUUGGAGUCUCGGAAGCCAAACGCGGGAACCUGGAUGUCUUCCGCAAUCUGAUAAGCGCAAGGAAUUACGGCAGCAUCCCAGUGGAAGAGCGAAUGCUACUCGAGGAUCGCUACCGGGAAGCGAUCCGGAACAACGAACCUGGCUGGGAUGACACCUUGGAGCCGUUGAAGUGUCCACAUACAGACGCGUAUCGGAAGAAAUUCGAAGAGGACCAGGAGAAGAUGCGAGUUCAGCAAAUGGAAGACGAACUCCGCGCGAAAAUUAAUGCGGAAAAUAAGAGGGCAAGCGAACAGGCCGCACGAGAGGCGCUGUCCAGUACGUCGGGUUUAGCUGCACCCACGGGCAUGGCCAGCCUUAAUGAAGACGAAAUGCAACUCGUACGGCAGUCGCUCAUCAUUCAAAUUGAAACGUUAACGAAGGAUCCAGCUGCUAUGUCAGACGAGAUAUUCAAAAUGCUGUUGCGGGAGAAGAAACGAUUGCAAGACGGGUUCGCGCCGGCACCAUACAUAAAGAAGGAAGUCGAAAGACGUAUGGAUGACCUACGUAAAUCUCGCCGAACCGAAAGCGAUGUGCUGCAAGCACUCAGAAGCUUCAAACGGGAUGAAGGCUUCAUACGACCACGGUCGCCUCCGCAUAGAGAAAGGUCACGCGGACAUUCACGUGAACAUGAACGGACUUCUGAAAGACGGAGUGAAAGGUCACGUGAACACUCUCGUGAAAGGACACGUGAGUACCGUACUGAAAGGUCACGCGAACGCUCCCGCGACCGAGAUUACCGUGGCGGAAGAGGAUGGGUGCGCCACGGAGAUGAAAUAACUGAAAUGACCAUACAGCGGAAGAUUGAUACAGCCAAGAUUCUGGCAGCGACAAGGGAACGAGAAGAAAAACGGCGUGCGGAGACAUUCCGUACAGAACCUGAAAAGGAAGGGCAUCAGGUGCCGAUGGGAGUCGCAUUCCGGAAUCGCAAUGUCAGAAUGUCAACACCUGAAAGGUCAUGGGACAAAAGACGCGAACAAACGCGGAACCGAACACCCGACCCACAGGAUAAAAGAUGGCAACAGAGAGCUGCAUUCUACGCGACCUUUGACUCGGGCGCAAAUAAAAGGUCAUCAAGCACUGAACGGGAAGAUUCACCCCCAAAGUAUCAGCGGGUAGAGUCAAUGGUUCAUGUAGUGGAUCCAAUUGUGAGCGUCGUACAAGAAGACGAUGCGAUGGAAGGGACUAGCUCGAUUGCGGAAACGUCUCAAGAGAACGUGACCCAUCGACGAAAUGUAAUUCUGGAUAGUGACCUUCAACCGGAACAACCGGCGAGUAACGAACCGUCGCAGCCUGAGUCAGGAGAGCGACGGGAACCAGAAGGUCAACGAGAACCGGAUAAUCAUCGCCGGGCUGAUCAGCGACAGAACUCCAGAUUCGAUAACCGACAACCGGAUACCAUCGACAUGGAAUAUAAUACGACUGAUAUUGAUGAACAAACGGUCGAAAUUUGUCGAUACUUUGGACUUGAGCCGGAUUCGGUUGAAGCCAACAAAAUUGGCACAAUUUUGAGACAGCUGAGCCAAUUCUUACUUGAUUCAGGAUAUGCGAGAGAAAUCAAACAGGGAGUGGAACAAGGAACUUUCCGCCGGUUAUUCAUCCACCGCGACUCGGUACGGGACUGUUAUCUCCCUAUUCGACGGAAUGGACUACAUAGUUUGGUGGAUUUGAGUUUGUUGGAUGUACCGCUGGACACAACUGACCCAAUCGGGAUGACACAAUUUUAUUACACAGAUUAUCCCGAACGCCAAGAAUACGUGGCUCAGUUUGUUCUACGACAUGUGAACCCAGCUUUCAAGUUGCUUGCAGCAAGGGCGUCGAUAGGACUACAGGUGGAUCCUAAGGACUAUGCCGCAAAAAGGAUGGGGCAAAAGGUCUUUGCUGCGAGACUGGCACAUUAUAAGACACAAAAUCAAUUGGUGUCUAAUACCAUGAAAGACGACAUUCCACCGUUCUUCCGAGCUCAUGUCGCUAAAUUGGGACAACCGAUGGAACAUAUCAGCAUAGCGCAUACGGCUCGCAAGGCGCUGAAAAAGUGCAAGACACGAAUGGAAAAGGGCAACUUGAUACAGCGCCAUGCCUCCCAAGUUGAAGAAAGGGUCAACAAGAUCAAAGAUUCCCUGGGAAGUGACUACGUCGAACCAGUAGACGGAGUUGAAACGUACAUCGACGAUUUCCUGGUGAAGAAAAGCGACCGACGCCCGGAACGCGCGCCUAACCAGAUGGGACGACGCGGCAUCCGAAACCAACAGCUGCGGGAUAAUCUUGCCGACGUGCAGCGUCGAUUGGCGGAAGACCCUGAUAACCGCAGACUGCGACUCGAAGAGAAUGACGCACGCCAUCGACUUGAGGCGGUUAAGCGAAGUCGCCAAGGUAAAGGUCGUGGCCAGCGCGAAGUUGACCCGACAAAGGUCAUGGGAGUUGACUCGACGGAACCAGUUGACCGAACUUCCGACCGAAACCAACCGGAAAGCGCUAAGAAACGCCCGCCGAGAGAUGACGAGGGCGAUUCAAAUGAAAUGGAAUAGUGUUGACCUUUAUGAUCACACUAUUAAAAGGACGUCUACGGCAUUUGUCGGUACGUCACAAAGAUGAAAAUGGUGUUGUAUAAAGGACGUGACACGUGACAUGUUAACAUAAACUGUAUUUGUGUAUUUGUUGUUUGCAGCGUUUAUAGCACAGAAUUGCCUAAAAGAAAUCAUGUGGAGUAUCUAUUGGGGUUGAAAUUGAUUCGGUCUAUAAAGCCGGCCCCAAGGGAGUAGUUACGGCAGUUAGCCGGCUCUCCUCUCUAAGCGACUCAGUGUUAUAAAUGCACAAGAGAAACAACGGUAAUCAAGCCGGAUCUCUUGAAUACGAAACGGGGCCACAAGCGGCGAAAAAGAGAAAGACAACAGGUGGAAUAUUGAUGAGGUUAACUUAAUGCGGCAACCAGCCGGCCUCAUUAGAGUUGUUACGGUAAACUGCGCCGGCACUCUUUUCAGGCGAUUCAGUGUUAGAAUUAAAACGAGAAAAACUACGGUAACCAAGCCGGAUUUCUCGUAGUAAUGUUAGCCACAAGCGGCGAACAAGAGUAAAAGACUUAAGGUGGAAAUUUCAUGGGGUAAACUCAAUGCGGUAACUAGCCGGCCCCAUCAGAGAUGCUACGGUAAACUUGCCGGCACUCUGGCCGCUCGAGGCAUGUUGAAGUUGGAUGUGCGACGCAAAGGUCAAAUCAAGUCUUUACCAGGGAGGCAAGCAAAGAAGUGCUUGGAGCCGCAGAAAAUCGGCUAAGUUCCUCCAUGACCUUUAAAGGAAAUUUGCAGAGUGGGAUGACCUUUGGGACCAUUAACCCAAAUUGAGUCGCACAUCUCAACGGAUCAUCUUAACAAAGGAUGACCUUUACCAGGGAGGAAGCAAAUCAUGCUUGUCUUAAAGACGUCCCUCCAUGACCUUUAUGGAUCUCAUUUUGAAGUCGUACAAUCGAUACGCACUAUAUUCCAAAGAUGAAGCAGUAUUCCUAAGUCGUACUUGAUACGCACCCGAUUCUCAAAGCGGAUUGUGAUGGAAGUCGCAUUAUGGAUGCGCGAAGUUGCUCAACGGAGCGGAAUGGAUUAAAGUGCGGAAAACGGUGGACAGGACCUGUGACCUUUGCGAGUCAGAAAUGGAGGAUCCUAGUCUACAAUUUGAUUAAUACUUUUGUUGAUCUGUUACUGUUGAUCUGUUUUUGUAUUAAAAUUGAUAUGGAAUAGUAUUUUGAUACAGAUCUCUUUAUUUUCACAUAGUGCAUUUGGAAUUGAUGUGAUAAAUGGAAUAAGAGAAUUUGAUGUUUUUGAGCACGCACAGACACCGGCAACCGUCUUUUCGUGGAUUCGGGAGUGUGUCCAGCCUCAACGGAGCUCGGCAUCCCCCCAGAGGCAUGUGAGACGAGGCUCACUAGCGUUCACGCCCGUGGCGCUAGGCGCUACGCCUUCGGAUUACGGUCUGUGACGUGUCUCGCUUUGAUUGGCUUGAGUUGUGUUAGUGGGCGCGGCAUAGCACGUGCUGCACAGUGUUACACACUGUUGAAUGGGCUCCACGCUUUACGAUCGAGCUGCGCCGAUCAUUAUUGAUUUUUCUGUUCUCCAGACUUUUCAAUAUUAAAAAGUCAGCGAUUUACGGUGCGACGUUUGUGUUUCCGCAUAGCUCGCGAUCCAUAUCGUAUCGCUCGCUUCUACGGGAUAGAUUCCGUUUCUGUCUCCGUCUGUGGAUCUAUUCUGGAUCUACCAUUAGAGGUGCCUGAAAACACUGGUAUUGUCGCGGUGUGAUUUCAGCGAUUUCGACUGCUAUCUGCACGCGCACUUGGACUGCAUGAAUGCGGAAUUGUCGGCGCUGGCCGCGACGUGCAGUGCGGUGGUGUGGCGAGAUUGUGACAUGUCACUCUCGCAGACCAGCGCACACGUCGCCUAUGCGAAAUUCUGUUUGCGGGAUGCGCCCGCGCAGCGGUUGACGCAGUUGUGGGAUGUCUAUGAAAUGUCACUGGUGUCGCGUGCGAAAGUAGAUGUGGCGAAGCUGGCUGAAUGGGUGACCAAUGGUGUUAACACGCAAAGCAUUGCAGCCUGCAGCGGCAUCUUAUGGGCUUUGAACGAGUAUAUUGGUGCUGAUCCUCGUACGGUGCAGCACGGUGCAUUUAACAAAUGGACGCUGGAUACUCUGGUCAAUUUGGAUGUGUUUACACUGUCAAAAGUGGCGCAGUUUGCCUUUUACCACUAUGUCUAUCCCUGGCCCGCAGACGACAGCUGAAGAUUAUAGUCUCCUGUUACGACCUUUUAAAGAUGUUUUGUUUGGUGGAUUCUAAUCAGUACUGGAGUUUGACAGCAAACUGCAACAUCGCACUAAUUGUAUAAUAUCUGGCCUGCAUUGCAGUGUUUAUUCUGGACGAUUUGCACGUGAGCAGGCAGCACUUUAGUUUACUAAGUAAGGCCCGUAUUGGGUGUAACCAUUUGAGUUUUUUUCAGUUCUGAUAAUUACCUACGUGUCAACGCUUUCGUAUAGAUUUAUGUGCAGUAUAAGAUACGGCUUGCCGCUUCUGUUGUUAUGAUAGCGGGAAAAAAAUGAAGAGUAAC